UACGGAGGAUGCGAGCGUUAUCCGGAUUUAUUGGGUUUAAAGGGUGCGUAGGCGGCUUUUUAAGUCAGCGGUGAAAUUUUGCAGCUCAACUGUAAAAGUGCCUUCGAAACUGGUUUCCUUGAGUGUAGAUGAAGUAGGCGGAAUUUGUGGUGUAGCGGUGAAAUGCUUAGAUAUCACGAGGAACUCCGAUUGCGCAGGCAGCUUACUAAACUACUACUGACGCUCAGGCACGAAGGCGUGGGGAUCAAACAGGAUUAGAUACCCUGGUAGUCCCU
rnacentral:rRNA from 1 species